CCGAGUGGGAACAGUUCUUGAUUGUUAGAAACUUUAUGUGCUACCCUCGCACUUAGCUCACACACUUUUGCAUAUUCCUUUUGAUGUCUGAUUUGGCACGUAGGCAGAUCAUACGAUAAUGCAGUUAAACUGAGGAGCGAUCGCGAAAGCUUUUAUCACCGUUACAGUUAGGUCUAUAAAAGGAGCGGGCGACCGCGUGCGACAGUCUUCAGUUCAGAUUGGAAGCGAAAAGACGUACUUCGUCAAGAAGAUUAAACAGUGAAAAACGAAGUCUAAAGUUAAAAUAAGUAAUAAAAAUAAUAGAAAGCGUAUUGAAGCAGACGUGCAAGUGGAAAAGUAUUGUAAAAUCUAAGUAGUGAAAGAUAUUGAAACAGCCUCGUGGCAGGGGUGCUGCCGCAAGCGCUGGUCCGAUUUUCACCAAUCUCUUGGUGCAUAUAUAUUGGCGCGGAGACAAGGGUAGUAAAUCUACUCCAAGGAGAUUUCGGAACCGUGCUCCAGUGCCACAUUCGAGACUGCUCGUUGAUGAUCAUCAAAUGUGUCUGGCGUUAAGUGACUUAUAUAAAUGGAUACCAAAGUCACAAGUUUAUUCAGAUCCACAAGAAAUUAUGACUUUAAAUCUGUGUUGCGUAGUGUAA